UUGUGUGUUGUUUUUUUUGGAUAAACUAUGUUCGAGGAUCCCCGACGGAGAGGAAAAGUUCACGAUUAUUGCAGAUCUACAAGGCUAUGGUUACUCCAACAACGACGCUCGUGGAUAUAUUACAGCAUUUUCUAUUUUACAGGAUUACUACCCAGAAAGAUUGAGGAAAUUGUUUGUAAUCCAUGUACCUUACAUCUUCAUGGCCUUCUGGAAAAUCAUCUGUCCAUUCAUCGACAAAAAAACAAC